rnacentral:tRNA from 1 species
GCCUGGCUGGCUCAGUUGGUAGAGCAUGGGACUCUUGAUCUCAGGGUUGUGAGUUCCAGCCACCUGUUAGGUA